rnacentral:rRNA from 1 species
AGCGAACGCUGGCGGCGUGCUUAACACAUGCAAGUCGAACGUGAAAUGUAGCAAUACAGAGUAAAGUGGCGUACGGGUGAGUAACACGUGGGUAAUCUACCUUAGAGUCUAGAAUAACCGGCCGAAAGGCUGGCUAAUACUAGAUAGUUCAAGCGCACUGUAGAGGUGUGAUUGGGAAAGGGAGCUCGCAAGAGCCUUUGCUUUAAGAUGAGCCCGCGUCUGAUUAGCUAGUUGGUAAGGUAAUGGCUUACCAAGGCGAUGAUCAGUAGCUGGUCUGAGAGGAUGAUCAGCCACACUGGGACUGAGAUACGGCCCAGACUCCUACGGGAGGCAGCAGUGGGGAAUAUUGGACAAUGGGGGCAACCCUGAUCCAGCCAUGCCGCGUGAGUGAUGAAGGCCCUAGGGUUGUAAAGCUCUUUUGUGCGGGAAGAUAAUGACGGUACCGCAAGAAUAAGCCCCGGCUAACUUCGUGCCAGCAGCCGCGGUAAUC